rnacentral:miRNA from 1 species
AAUUUUUUUUUUUACCGUUGGCGCGUGAAUUACACGUGCCAAUGGUAAAAAAAAUU